rnacentral:tRNA from 1 species
GCCGGUCCAUAGGCCAGCUGGGCAUAUCCGCGCCAGGGCCACCGGGCCAGGCUUGUCUGCCACGGCGCCGGUUCGAGUCCGGCGGUGACCGGCA